AAUUUUGGACAAUGGGGGAAACCCUGAUCCAGCCAUCCCGCGUGUAUGAUGAAGGCCUUCGGGUUGUAAAGUACUUUUGGCAGAGAAGAAAAGGUACCUCCUAAUACGAGAUACUGCUGACGGUAUCUGCAGAACAAGCACCGGCUAACUACGUGCCAGCAGCCGCGGUAAUACGUAGGGUGCAAGCGUUAAUCGGAAUUACUUGGCGUAAAGGGUGGGUCGGCGGUUCGGAAAGAAAGAUGAUAAAACCCAUGGCUCAACCUUGGAACUGCAUUUUUAACUGCCGAGCUAGAGUAUGUCGGAGGGGGGUAGAAUUCCACGUGUAGCAGUGAAAUGCGUAGAUAUGUGAAGGAAUACCGAUGGCGAAGGCAGCCCCCUGGGAUAAUACUGACGCUCAGACACGAAAGCGUGGGGAGCAAACAG
rnacentral:rRNA from 1 species